rnacentral:lncRNA from 1 species
AGCGAUCAACUCCGGCUCCGGAUAGUGGUGGUACGGAAGUGUGUAUAAAUAUGGUAAAAUCGCUGAAGAGUAUAGUAUUUAGAAUGAAAUAUAUUAUUUUUAUAAGAAAGAAUGCGGAAACUUGAAAGAAGAAUAGAGAGAAGAUUGUUGCGCGAUGCGCAAAAUCCAUUUGAACAACAAGAAUUUAUUGUACAGUUCAGACUAAACCAAGUUUUGAUCAUGCAAAUUGUUAAUAAUUUAAGACAAGAUUUAGAAAAACAACGUAUAACUGGUCUCUAGAAAUUCAAGUUUUGGUUGCAAUUGAUUUUUUUGCUCAUGGUUCUUAUCAAAGACCAGCUGGAAACCAAUGCGAAUUAGUAAGUCAGCCAACUACUAGCCGUUGCAUACGUAAAGUGCAUAAUAAAUACAUAAUUAAUAAAUAUACAUUUAUUAUGCCAAUGGAUAAAAUUUUCCAUGAUGCCACAUGAAAAGACUACUGCAAUAGAACAAAUUUGCACUAGCUGCACAGAUAUUUCCUCGAGCUGUUGGAGCUACUGAUUGUACGUACAUAAAUAUUCUUGCAUCACAUGUUCAUGAAGAAGCAUAUGUUAAUCACCAUCAUUCUUUGAAAGCAAUAGUUGAUUCAGAUAUGAAAAUAUUAAAUAUAAAUGCACGAUACCCAGAUAGAUGCAAGGAAUGAUGCAUAUAUCUGGAGUGCUUCUCCAAUUAAACGUGUCAUGGAACAUUGGUAUAACCAAGGGGAAAAUUUAUUUAAUUGGAGAUGCUGGAUAUCCAUUAGAGCCAUGGUUAAUGACACCGUUGACAAAUUAUCCUCAGUGGAAUCGCUAGUGUCAUUAUAAUCAGAAAUUAUGUAAAACACGGAGUAUCGUUGAAAGAUUAUUUGGAAUUUUAAAGGAAACGUGGAGAUGUUUGUCUUACCAACGUA